GGGGCUGUGGGAGCUGUGGGGACAUGGAGGCUUCCACGGUACUCCUUGGAUGGUCCACGCUGACCCAGCAGCCAGGAACUGUCUCUCCCAGGGCUAAACCAUUGGGGGCAAGGAAAGAAGUCCUUCACUUCCAAAGAAGCCAUUGAAGAGACGGGGUUUCAACAUGUUGCCCAGGCUGGUCUCAAAUUCCUGAGCUCAAGCCAUCCUCCUGCCUCGGCCUCCCAAAGUGCUGGGAUUACAGGCGUGAACCACCACACCCGGCCAGAGACCCUGCACUGGAUGGAUCAGUUGACACCACCCAGGCCGGUAUUCUGGCUCAACCAGUUCUGCCAUCGCAGCCAGGAACAGAAGACAUGAAGAAAACCUCACUGCGACCCCCUGUGACUCUAUCUCCAACCUGACCAAUCAGCACUCCCCACUUCCCAAGUCCUUACCCGCCAAAUUGUCGUUAAAAACUCUGAUCCCCGCAUGCUUGGGUAGAUUGAUUUGUGUAAUAAUAAAACUCCCUCCUCCUGUA